rnacentral:rRNA from 1 species
GGGGUGAUGGCCUACCAAGGCGACGACGGGUAGCCGGCCUGAGAGGGUGUCCGGCCACACUGGGACUGAGAUACGGCCCAGACUCCUACGGGAGGCAGCAGUGGGGAAUAUUGCACAAUGGGCGCAAGCCUGAUGCAGCGACGCCGCGUGAGGGAUGACGGCCUUCGGGUUGUAAACCUCUUUCAACGCCGACGAAGCGUAAGUGACGGUAGGCGUAGAAGAAGCACCGGCCAACUACGUGCCAGCAGCCGCGGUAAUACGUAGGGUGCGAGCGUUGUCCGGAAUUACUGGGCGUAAAGAGCUCGUAGGUGGUUUGUCGCGUUGUUCGUGAAAACCUGAGGCUCAACUGUGGGCGUGCGGGCGAUACGGGCAGACUGGAGUACUGCAGGGGAGACUGGAAUUCCUGGUGUAGCGGUGGAAUACGCAGAUAUCAGGAGGAACACCGGUGGCGAAGGCGGGUCUCUGGGCAGUAACUGACGCUGAGGAGCGAAAGCGUGGGGAGCGAACAGGAUUAGAUACCCUGGUAGUCCACGCCGUAAACGGUGGGUACUA